CUCUCUCUCUCUCUCUCCGUUUAUUCCUCUUCGCAGAACCUCCAUCAAGUUCUUUAUGCUUCAACACUUAAUUUCUUACUUGUUCCUCUUAUUUCCAGGAGGCUACUAGAUUUUUGCAAUCAAAAAAUAGAGGUAUUGAUCAAGAAGUCAAAUACAAGCCUCUACCUGCAGGUCCAAGCACUAGCACUCGUUCAGAGACCAAGGAAUCUGAAAAAGCAAAGGUCUCUAUUCUUGAGAAUAUUUACUGGAAGGAAGUUGGUGUACUUUCUGCAGUGUGGAUUGUUGUCCUUGGACUGCAGAUCGCCAAGGUUUUAAUCAGCUUUGUGCAUAUUUUUUUUCUAAAAGUACUUUAUGAUUAGUUUUCCUUUGUUUCUCGCAUCAAUGAGCUAGAUUGAUGGAUUUCUCUUGUGAUGGAUACAAAAUCAUACAACUACUUGUUCGGUGCUGUAUUGGGUACUAAACCUAUUGCAGAUCACAAUAACUGUUUGAGUGACUUCAUAUAAAGCCGUGAACCUGUACAAAGGGCAGAGAGUGAUCACAUCAAAAGGAGAAGCAGACACAAAUUGGCGAGUGCACCAGCUGGUUCUUUAUAGUCCAAUCAAAUCAUCAUCAUGAUAAGCACCUAAUCCACAAAUUAGUGGCAUGCAGUCUGAUAUGGACUGAGAAAUUAGCUCAAUUUGUUUGACAUUUUGGCCUCUGAAUUAAUCAAGUAGUAUGCUCUUGGGCUAGCUGAUGCUGCUCUAUAUAUAUAUAUAUAUGUUUUUU